UAUGGCCAUAUCAUAUUGAAACACUGGUUCCUGUAUGAUCAUUAAAGUUAAGCUAUGUUGAGCCAGGUCAGUACCUAGAUGGGUGACUGCUUGGGAAUACCAGAUGCUGUGA
rnacentral:rRNA from 1 species